rnacentral:rRNA from 1 species
AUUGAACGCUGGCGGCAUGCUUUACACAUGCAAGUCGGACGGCAGCACAGAGAAGCUUGCUUCUUGGGUGGCGAGUGGCGAACGGGUGAGUAACAUAUCGGAACGUACCGAGCAGUGGGGGAUAACUAAUCGAAAGAUUAGCUAAUACCGCAUAUUUUCUGAGGAAGAAAGCAGGGGACCUUUGGGCCUUGCGCUGUUUGAGCGGCCGAUAUCUGAUUAGCUAGUUGGUGGGGUAAAGGCCUACCAAGGCGACGAUCAGUAGCGGGUCUGAGAGGAUGAUCCGCCACACUGGGACUGAGACACGGCCCAGACUCCUACGGGAGGCAGCAGUGGGGAAUUUUGGACAAUGGGCGCAAGCCUGAUCCAGCCAUGCCGCGUGUCUGAAGAAGGCCUUCGGGUUGUAAAGGACUUUUGUCAGGGAAGAAAAGGGCGGGGUUAAGACCCCUGUCUGAUGACGGUACCUGAAGAAUAAGCACCGGCUAACUACGU